rfam:Pseudomonas aeruginosa PAO1, complete genome.
CAGUGAGGACGACCUCACCACCCGCCUCCGGCCGGUGAUCGAAUGGGGACGGCCCCG